rnacentral:rRNA from 1 species
GGUUAAGCGACUAAGCGUACACGGUGGAUGCCCUGGCAGUCAGAGGCGAUGAAGGGCGUGCUAAUCUGCGAUAAGCGCCGGUAAGGUGAUAUGAACCGUUAUAACCGGCGAUACCCGAAUGGGGAAACCCAGUGUGAUUCGUCACACUAUCAUUAACUGAAUCCAUAGGUUAAUGAGGCGAACCGGGGGAACUGAAACAUCUAAGUACCCCGAGGAAAAGAAAUCAACCGAGAUUCCCCCAGUAGCGGCGAGCGAACGGGGAGGAGCCCAGAGCCUGAAUCAGCAUGUGUGUUAGUGGAAGCGUCUGGAAAGGCGCGCGAUACAGGGUGACAGCCCCGUACACAAAAGCGCAUGUGCUGUGAGCUCGAUGAGUAGGGCGGGACACGUGGUAUCCUGUCUGAAUAUGGGGGGACCAUCCUCCAAGGCUAAAUACUCCUGACUGACCGAUAGUGAACCAGUACCGUGAGGGAAAGGCGAAAAGAACCCCGGCGAGGGGAGUGAAAAAGAACCUGAAACCGUGUACGUACAAGCAGUGGGAGCACAGGUUUACCUGUGUGACUGCGUACCUUUUGUAUAAUGGGUCAGCGACUUAUAUUCUGUAGCAAGGUUAACCGUAUAGGGGAGCCGGAGGGAAACCGAGUCUUAACCGGGCGUUAAGUUGCAGGGUAUAGACCCGAAACCCGGUGAUCUAGCCAUGGGCAGGUUGAAGGUUGGGUAACACUAACUGGAGGACCGAACCGACUAAUGUUGAAAAAUUAGCGGAUGACCUGUGGCUGGGGGUGAAAGGCCAAUCAAACCGGGAGAUAGCUGGUUCUCCCCGAAAGCUAUUUAGGUAGCGCCUCGUGAAUUCAUCUCCGGGGGUAGAGCACUGUUUCGGCUAGGGGGCCAUCCCGGCUUACCAACCCGAUGCAAACUGCGAAUACCGGAGAAUGUUAUCACGGGAGACACACGGCGGGUGCUAACGUCCGUCGUGAAGAGGGAAACAACCCAGACCGCCAGCUAAGGUCCCAAAGUCAUGGUUAAGUGGGAAACGAUGUGGGAAGGCCCAGACAGCCAGGAUGUUGGCUUAGAAGCAGCCAUCAUUUAAAGAAAGCGUAAUAGCUCACUGGUCGAGUCGGCCUGCGCGGAAGAUGUAACGGGGCUAAACCAUGCACCGAAGCUGCGGCAGCGAACGUAUCACCCAAGACAACUUUACGGAGUUGACGAUUGACGGAGCGAAGCGACGUCAAAGCGUUCAUUAAAGUCGAGUUGGCUUAGGGAUACGUUCGUUGGGUAGGGGAGCGUUCUGUAAGCCUGUGAAGGUGUGUCGUGAGGCAUGCUGGAGGUAUCAGAAGUGCGAAUGCUGACAUAAGUAACGAUAAAGCGGGUGAAAAGCCCGCUCGCCGGAAGACCAAGGGUUCCUGUCCAACGUUAAUCGGGGCAGGGUGAGUCGACCCCUAAGGCGAGGCCGAAAGGCGUAGUCGAUGGGAAACGGGUUAAUAUUCCCGUACUUGGUGUUACUGCGAAGGGGGGACGGAGAAGGCUAUGUUGGCCGGGCGACGGUUGUCCCGGUUUAAGCGUGUAGGUGUGUGUUCCAGGUAAAUCCGGUUCACUUUAACACUGAGGCGUGACGACGAGGCACUACGGUGCUGAAGCAACAAAUGCCCUGCUUCCAGGAAAAGCCUCUAAGCAUCAGGUAACACGAAAUCGUACCCCAAACCGACACAGGUGGUCAGGUAGAGAAUACCAAGGCGCUUGAGAGAACUCGGGUGAAGGAACUAGGCAAAAUGGUGCCGUAACUUCGGGAGAAGGCACGCUGACACGUAGGUGAAGUGAUUUACUCAUGGAGCUGAAGUCAGUCGAAGAUACCAGCUGGCUGCAACUGUUUAUUAAAAACACAGCACUGUGCAAACACGAAAGUGGACGUAUACGGUGUGACGCCUGCCCGGUGCCGGAAGGUUAAUUGAUGGGGUCAGCGCAAGCGAAGCUCCUGAUCGAAGCCCCGGUAAACGGCGGCCGUAACUAUAACGGUCCUAAGGUAGCGAAAUUCCUUGUCGGGUAAGUUCCGACCUGCACGAAUGGCGUAAUGAUGGCCAGGCUGUCUCCACCCGAGACUCAGUGAAAUUGAACUCGCUGUGAAGAUGCAGUGUACCCGCGGCAAGACGGAAAGACCCCGUGAACCUUUACUAUAGCUUGACACUGAACAUUGAGCCUUGAUGUGUAGGAUAGGUGGGAGGCUUUGAAGUGUGGACGCCAGUCUGCAUGGAGCCGACCUUGAAAUACCACCCUUUAAUGUUUGAUGUUCUAACGUGGACCCGUAAUCCGGGUUGCGGACAGUGUCUGGUGGGUAGUUUGACUGGGGCGGUCUCCUCCUAAAGAGUAACGGAGGAGCACGAAGGUUGGCUAAUCCUGGUCGGACAUCAGGAGGUUAGUGCAAUGGCAUAAGCCAGCUUGACUGCGAGCGUGACGGCGCGAGCAGGUGCGAAAGCAGGUCAUAGUGAUCCGGUGGUUCUGAAUGGAAGGGCCAUCGCUCAACGGAUAAAAGGUACUCCGGGGAUAACAGGCUGAUACCGCCCAAGAGUUCAUAUCGACGGCGGUGUUUGGCACCUCGAUGUCGGCUCAUCACAUCCUGGGGCUGAAGUAGGUCCCAAGGGUAUGGCUGUUCGCCAUUUAAAGUGGUACGCGAGCUGGGUUUAGAACGUCGUGAGACAGUUCGGUCCCUAUCUGCCGUGGGCGCUGGAGAACUGAGGGGGGCUGCUCCUAGUACGAGAGGACCGGAGUGGACGCAUCACUGGUGUUCGGGUUGUCAUGCCAAUGGCACUGCCCGGUAGCUAAAUGCGGAAGAGAUAAGUGCUGAAAGCAUCUAAGCACGAAACUUGCCCCGAGAUGAGUUCUCCCUGAGACUUAGAGUCUCCUGAAGGAACGUUGAAGACGACGACGUUGAUAGGCCGGGUGUGUAAGCGCAGCGAUGCGUUGAGCUAACCGGUACUAAUGAACCGUGAGGCUUAACCUU